CCAGAACAACACAUGACUUCUGACCUGAAGCAAUACAGCCAAGUGAGUAGGCUGGCUAUCUAUUUGCACUGCCUUUCUACACGAGGUCCUUUUCCUCGGUAGACAUAAUGUACCAGAGAUGUAUUAGAGAUAAGGAUAAUGUGUCUGUCUGCCUGUUCUCCCUAUAGCUUUGGGAGACAAGCAGGAUGAAUAUGAGAGUGCAGUGGUAUGGGCCAAAUGCAAUGAGACUCCCACAAAUAUGGUGAGAUAAAAUGCUGUGGCCAAGAAUUGGAAAGGAUGCUGAAGAAUAGUUUCUUUUCCAUUUUUUUUUCCCUUGGAAACAAGCUCAUUUUUAUAGCAACAUGUCUGAUCUCACCAUUCAAAACGGAGAAUAUCCCAAGUUUGAUGCCUUGAGAUACAAGAGGAGGUUAAGAGAUGCAUAUCACUUCUAGAAAUGAACAACAGCUGCAUCCAGGCUUCUCCCUGAAAAUGGGUGACUUCUCCAGACACGGAGGACAUGAGCCAUAGACCCAAGAGAUUUUCACACAAGUGAUCACACCCUUGACAAGCUGGCUGAAGUUCAAUCCUAAAAGGCCAAACAGUUUGUCUGCAAUAGACAGAGAAGAUAAGACUUCCUGACAGAAGUUUUACCUAUGAAAGUAGGCAUAUGCCUACUGGAUAUUGUUACUGUUACCAGUGCUGUGAACACUUGGGGUAGAAGGAGUUUAAAUUUUCUGCAUUCUAUGAUGCAGCUUGAAGCAGCAGUGAUUUUCUUUUAAUGGGAAGAUCCAAAGUCUCUUCAUUUAAUUGUGUAAUCCUCCACACUGAUCAAGGAAGAAAACUUAGGGUCAUUGCUCAGUGAAUUGCCUUACAAUGCACGACAAUUACAUUGGAAGCAAAACAAAGGCAUACUAACAAUGCAAAGAUGCCACAUUCCUUUAGAAGAUGUUGUACCCAAGCAGAUAAAAUUCUGGUGGAAUUGGACAUGACAUGAUGGAGUGCCAGGCUGAGACUACUUCAUGAGCUAUUUGAUAAGACCCCCACGCAAUAAACAUAUCACUCGUGCAAGACUGUGAUGUUUACUGGGCUUUUCAGGGAGCCAGAAGCAAGGACCUUAACAAAUCUUGGUAUGCAAAAGUGAUUACAGAACAUAAAAAGAGAGAUAUUCAUCCUUUGACCAGUGCCAGAUAUUUUCCUCCAUCUGCCUCCAUCACAGCUCUGCAAGUACCAGCUUAUAAAGAGAAAAAGAAAAAAGAAAAAAGAAAAAAAAAAAGGAAAUCUCUAGUUCAGUUGGACAGAUUUGCAAGGAUCUUCGAAAAUGUGAAGGAAAUGGCUUUCUUCAAUCAGUUGUGUCUGUGUGGAGAGUGAAGGUGAAUAGUCUCAGCUCGGGAGGAAUGUAAUUUGGAAAGGUACGAGCAGCUGAGAAGGGAUUCUCAUGGGCACAGCGUUUGAACACUAAAGUGGCGGCUAUCUUUCCCACUGCAAUAAAAGGGAAGCUGGUAACAAUGGUGUGCUAUAAAAAGCAAAGGAACAUUUUUCUUUGUCAAACAACCACACCUCUCUGGCAGUGCUGCUGCUGUUGCUGCAGUACACUGGCUGAAAUCCACUCUGCCUUUGAACUCUACUGUUACAGAAUUUCAAUUAAAACUGAAAACCACACAAAGGUUGUGGGCAUAAAGAAUACCAAAAAGACACAUCCAUACCAUUGAUUGUUUUUGUUUUUCUUGGUCUGAUUAGGAAAUAAUGAUUUAAGCUGAUGGUGAGAUCCCAGGUAUUGCUGUAUAGGAAAAUUUUACCUAAUUAAAGAUGGGGAAGAACUAUAGAAAAUUCUCCAAGAUCAGAGCUGCCAUUCAAAAGAAAAAGUCAUACUGGGGUUCAAAAUCCCUCCAGAAACUGUUUCACUCCAUUAAAAAAAAAAAAAAAAAAAAAAAAAAAAAAAAAAAGUAUUUGAAGCCUGGAGGAAGAAUACUAUUUAAGAGAGUUUUUACCUUAAGUGAUGUACCCAACAAGGCCUUAUGUAUGCUGCAACAAGCUACAGUACCUGCAGGGUGCUUAUCUACCAUGGAAGUCUUCUAUUAUCUCAUUCUUUACAUGAAUGAAAGUUGAAUAAAGUUUCUUCUUUCUCAGAAACCAUUACACUGAUUUGACUGGGUCUGGAAGUAGCAGAAUGUUUUCCACCCAAUUAUUUUCAACUGAUUGAGAAUGUAUUACUUUACUCAUAGGCACUUUGGAGUUUCAAUGACUAUGUGAAGGACAGUACUUCCAGUAACAUUUAGAAACAUUCUGAGUGGAGAGAAGAUGAAAAGAAAAACCAAAACCAAAAACAAAACCACAACCAAGCAAAACACUUAGUUGUUUAAAAAUGCAUCCAUUUUCUCAUGUUUUGUUUUUUUUUUUUUUUCUUCUGGAAAUCAAUGCUGCAAGUUAUUGUUGUUAAUUGUAAUGAGAUCAUAAGUUUAGAAAACAUUCCCUCAUAAAAAAACAAAUGUCUUUUAAUAAAGUAUGAGAAUUGUGGAAUGACUAUUGGUAAUAAAAAUGAAAUCUGACAAAGAAUACAGAAUAGCCACAGUGGGGAUAACAGAUAUAUUUCUUUGGAACUGUUAGCUGCAUUAACAUCAUAUAAAACUGUGUUCUAAGAUAUCUGAGUUCUAUGUGAAGGAUCAUAUGUAAAUUUUAACUAAACUGGAGCCAUUAUAUUAUCAUAGGUACAAUGUGCUAGAUAGAAGGCUGUUUCACAUCCACUGAAUAGAUGUGUAUGUUCAUGCAUGUAUGCAUAGCUGUAUGUCUAUAAAUAUAUUCAUAUGUUUAGAGAAAACUUGAACUGGUGGAAAACUGAAAGGACAGGAAGAAAGCAUAGUUUGACUAAAAAGAUAGUUGUUCCAUCUUUCUGUUUCUUUAUUCACCAUAUUUACAUUUUAAUCAGAAGUUGGACUCAAUCCUUAGGCAUCCCUUCCAACACGGGAUAUUCUAUGAUUCUAUGAUUCUAUAUUUAUUUCCCUGCUCACUUCUUUUGUAUAAAACCUACUUUCUAAUUCAGUUGGGUAACUCAUCUUUAAUAUUAUUUUAACAGAUCUUGUCUUACUUUCAUGGAGUAGUCACAGCAAAGGUUGCAUUGUAAAAGAAAAUUGCCUCACUACUGCACUGGGUUUUCUAAUUACUAUAUCUGGUACCACCAUUGGAUAUUUGGAGAAGAAGAAAAGAGAGAGGAAAGAGAGACCACUGUUAAUCACCCCUUACUAGUAGUUGAGGCCCUCAACUUGUUAUUUAAUUUUCAGUUUUACAUACCUCGAUUUCAGAAAACAAAUGAUAGAAAAAGAACCUCAGCUGCAUACCCCGGCUUGCAGGCAAACCUCUUCUAUAAAUAUGUGACCAUUUUAUGAAACUGUAUGGAAGAGAAAAUACGACUAUGAACUUAUGAACAUGUCGAGUGUUUCCCAAAAGAGUUUUAUGGUUUUAUGAUCUAUGAGUUGAAUCAACUCAAAGGAAACUUGAUUUUAUUAAGAACAGCAUCUCAGAACUCAUCUGUGGGUUUGGAUUUCCAACACACUCCUGUAAAUUUGUUGAAUUAUUUAUUUGCAGUGAUGAGACGAGAACAGGAUUCUUCAAGUGGGCUGUACAGUUUGCAUGUCUUACAAAAAAUCUGAUCCAGAAAGACAGAUCUCCAUCAUUCUUAUAUAAGUCUUUUAUAAAUUUGCCCACUGUUAUUGUAAAAUUAGUCUUUUUACAGGAGUGAAAUUUCAAAUUGCUGAAACACUUUCCUGUAGAAUCAUGAAGUGAGAAGAAAAAAUUGAGAAGUAUUUCUGCCUGUAUGAGGAAACACAUGAGCACUGAUACAGAAGGUAUCAAGCCAGCUUGCUGACCAUUGCUUCUAGGACAGCUGGAAGGUCAUGGGAAAUAUUCCACUUCACCAUUCCAAAAUCCUUGCCAUUCCAGUUUGCCUCUUUUCAUUAUUUUUAUUAUACAGAAGCCCAGCAUGUUGUUAGGUCUUUGACAAGGAUUUGAACAAAAUUUAAUAUAUAACUACAUUAUUGAAGGAGUCAUAGAAUUAUAGAAUCAUAGAAUGGUUUGUCUUGGAAGGGUUUCUUAAGAUCCCUAGUUCCAACCUCUCUGCUAUAAGCAGGGACAUCUCCUACUAGACCAGGUUCCUACAUGCCCUCAUAAAAAGUGGCCUGAUAGCUGCCUUUCAGUAUCUAAGGGAGACCUACAGGAGAGAAGGGGACAGACUCUUUGGCAGGGUCUGUGAUGAUAGAAAAAGGGGAAAUGAUUUCAAACUAAAAGAGAGGAUAUAAGGAAAAAGUCUUUUACAGUGAGGAUGGUGAGGCAUUGUAACAUAUUUCCCUGAGAAAUGGUGGAUUCCCUCUCCCUGGAGACACUGAAGAUCAGGUUGGAGGAGUUCUAAGCAACAUGAUCUACCUUUGGAUAUCCUUUUUCAUUGCAAGGAUGACCGUUAAGGGUUCCUUCCUACUCAAAUGAUAUAUGAACUUGAGCACACCCUUUCUUUCUUCCACGAUUACCCACGGAAUAUGAAAGUAAUAGAAUGUCUACUGCAUACUUGCUUUCCUUACCCCUGCCUCUCCCCAGGUUUUGCAGAUUGUAUCUGCAGUUGCAUUUUUCAUCACUUCCUCUUGAGAUUGUGGGAAAGUGAGGACAAAGUAUGACAUUAAAAACAAUUUGACUCUAAAAGGAAAAAAUAAACCAGACUAUUGCUAGGAAAACAUUAUUGAAAAUCCUAUGAAAAUAUAAAUACAAUUUAUUUUGGUAUCCUUAAUCCUCUUAAAAUGGAAGAAUUAAGCCCAAGAAGCUGUUUAACUGCAUGUAGAAAUCAUGGUGAAUUUAUCUUCAUUGGGUGACCUCAUCAAAUUAUUCUCCACUGCUGUGAUUUUUUUUGAAGACAGCUCAAUAACAUUUGACUCCCAGUUCCCAUUAGAAUUUAAUGAGAACUGGGCCUCUAAGUCCCCCAGAUUCCUUUGAAAAUAACCCAGCCUAUGAUAAAAUAAUACAGUUCUGUGCAUCCUUAAUUUCUGACAGCAUGUUCAUGUCUGGAAUAUUGAUUGCAACUGCUACUGCCAAGCACACAGAUCCCAUCACUCUUGCCUGCUUUUCCAUUAUGUCAUAAAUAGAUAGCACAGCUCAAUAGAUCAUACAGAUAGAUGGAGCUGGACUACUUACAUGGACUUGCAGGAAAAAACAACUAAUAAUAACCAAGUAUCUAACUUGAUUGGACAAAUUACUUGAAUGAUUUUUAAAAGCUCUGAAAUGAGUAACUUCGAAGAGUGAAUAACGGCGAAAACAAGGCCAGGUCCAACAGUAGUAAUUAGAUUCAAGUAAAAAAUAAAACUCAAUUGGAAAGUUUUAAAGUCUUUGUAUUAUGCAAGUAACCUGGAAAGUUUGUGGUACCAGAAAUGGGAGUUCAAUUAAAUAUUUGGAAAGCCAAAAACAAACAAACAAACAAACAAAAAAAAACCAAAAACCAAAAAACAAACAAACAAAACAAAACCCAAAACCCAAAACAAACAAAACAACAACAAAAAACCAGACAUGCAAGCAGAAUCAUUUAGUAUCCUGCUAAGCUGAAAACACAUUCAAACUAAAACGAGAACUCAGGUGGUUGAAUAAGCAAUAGGAAAAAAGGAACAGAGUUGUCAAAAUAAAAUAUAUUUCAGACUGACUUGAGUAAAAUUUUAAUCCUUGAUUUCAUUUUUCGUGUUUGUACAUUUGUUCCCAGCAGUAAAAUCACAACAUCAUUUCACAGAAAGGUAAGGAAAGGAAAGGAAAGGCAAAGAAAAAGUGCUGGUGAUUCAGCCUCCAGGCUCUCCAUAAAACCUACUAGGAAGCAGAAUGCAAAGUUGUUUUUGUAUGUCCUACUGUGACUUAUCAUGUUAUUAGAAGUCUAUUUCCUCAUCUUUCUGGGGAAAAAAAAGAAAAAAGUGACAACUCAGGAAGAUCACUGUUGGGCUUCAUUCUUCCAUGGAAUUAAAAAAAACGAAACAAAACAAAAAAAAUCCAAAGCAAACAACAAAAAAAGCAACCUGUACUCAGCAGCUAUGGUUUGCAACACUGCACCAAGAUUAGGUUAGAUAUUCAUUUUAAGAGCAGGCCAUUACUUUUGCAGUACUUCUGCAGGAGUAAGACUAAGGAAAUAGCCUAACAGAUCUCAUUCAUAUGCAGCAACUCACCAGUCUCAAUAGAUAGGAUUAACUUGGAUUCUUCACAGGGAAUCCAAUUUCAUAAUUAUUUUGUUUAGUUUUAUCAUUUUAUUUUAUUUUUACUUUAUUUAAUGAAUUUAAAUGAAAAUAUCUAGAAAUCUAUCAGGAACUGGGACUCCAUUUUGUCCCCUGUAUGUGGGGCCUACUAUAAAACUGCAAAACCAAAAUUGUGGUUCAUAUUCUUUUAACAUCUCCAAUCUAAAGAGGAAAGAUAAAACUGAGAUACAGAGGAUUUGGUGUCCAAGGAGCCAGUGGAAUGCCUAAGGGCAGUUUAAAGCAAACUUGAAUGUUUACACAGUCUCAAACCACCCUUCUUUUCUGAACACACCAGGGGAGACAAAAUUUGUCAUCCUAGCAGGCAGGAGUGUAAGUACAUCUCCUGCAUACCUGCUGCCAAAGGGUAUUUGUAUGUUUGAAAGUUACUGCGGCAAAAGAAUGUCAAGCAAUGACUUAAAGACUGAUGAAGUGCUUUCUGGACAUCACUGAUGAAGUUCUCCUUAAAGCAGGUGGCCUAGCAUCAAACAAAAUAUAAAUAUACCUGCUGGAAAAAUAGAAUGAUUAGUUAACAUCGUAGGGCAAACAAAUGUUAAACUGACCUCAAGUCCAAAGGAGAGAUGAAAGACAGAUGGGGGCUGGUGAAUGCACUUGAUAAUGUUGUUGGGAGCCUUAAAUCUGGUGGACAGAGAAACAGGAACCUUUGGAUGGAUGGAUGUAUAGGGUGACAAGGAUGAAACUAUGGAAAUCUGAAAUACUACCUCCUGGUACAUUUGCAUUUCAGGAAUCUGAGCACUUAAAUAGAGAGAGGCAGUGGCGAUGAAAUGGAAGAUAAGUUUUACUCAUGAAUUAGUUGUAAUCAUCUGUAAUAUUGUGUUAGCUGGAGAGCAAACGUUUAGGAGCAUGAUCAGGAAGAUUAGUUGAUUUUCCACUUGUAUCAUAUAACGUAUGAAUACAACAAAUUCUGCAACAUAUUAAAUAUAUAUGGAAUUAUUUUAUUUUAACUUAUAGCAAAGGUGAUUUACUUCUUUACACAAGAAAGAUUCCUAUGACCAUUUGUAGUCAUAGAACUUAGCAGUCUAAGUUCCAAAGUUGAAACUUUAAUUGGAACUAUAGGAAAUCUCCUCUGAUAGCUCUGAUAAUAGAUAGCUCCUCUGAUACAUCUAACCAGUAAUAAUUUCACAUCUAUAGAUUUUUGAUGUGGCCUUUUAAUGUACUUUUGGAUCCUCCUGCAUGAUGAUGAUUCUGGUCUUGCAAGCUGCUGUGUGUAGGCAGCCCCUGACACCAGAGACCACUGCUGUGGGAGUUAGAAAGUCUGUGCUCAGAUGGAAAGGUCAAACUGCACAGAAUAGCUUGCAGGUUCAGAAGCCUGCCUGAAAUACUCUCAGCUUAGAACAAACCUGAAUUACUUUGUGAGUAUGAAACAUUUAACACGAGAGCCUGCAAAAAGUGGUAAAGGUUUUGUAUAUAGCUGUCUAAGAUGAGCUAACCUAAGACUUAAUUAGCUAUUAUAUACAAAGAAACCCUUUUUAAUAAAUAAUUAAAUAAUUAAAAUCCUGGCCUGUGACAGUAGCAAAAUCAGUUUUGCAGUUGGAAGUCUACUUCUGUGCUUUCUUUAUUAUUAAAUACAUCAUUUUAAGAAGGCAAUUUUGAACUGAAUAGAUGUGAAUCUAAGAACACCAAAACCCACUUUGUGUCUUGAUAGAAACAUUUUUUGUGUGUGUUUUGAUCCUGGAAAUUUCACAUCUCUCUUUUAACUUUCUUAAGAAAUAACAUUACUUCUGUUUCUCCAGUCGUUUACUUGCUUAAACUCCAGAGCAUACUGGUGUGCUGCAUAAUUGGAACAAAGCUUAAUAUUGUAAAUAAAAACCUUUACCUCCAAAUCUGCAGAGGAACUGUAUUUAAAGAAAUGAAACAAAAUAGAAUUUAAAUGCUUAAAUACAAGAUAAUGUUUAGAAACUUUAGCUGCCCACAAUCAAACAUUCCCAGCUGAAGUUUGAUUACUUUGGCUUGCAUUUAUCUGAUACUAAAAAAAAUAAGGAUUGGUUGUCAUCGAGGUAUUGGAAAGUGACAAAUAUAAUAUAAUUUCUAAAAAGAAUGACCAUCAACCCAGUACUGCAUACAGUAUGGAUGAAAGAAAGCCCUUUUUACCUAGCUUCAAAUUCCCCACAGCCUUCUGGAUUUUACAUAUUUACCACAGGUACUCAUAGAACUGAGUUGUUUGAAAUGUGAAAAUGUCUGAAUGUGUUUUCAGGAGCAGCCUGAAUAAUGUGGACAACACAUCAACAGAGAGCAAAACUAAUACAGAUACACUGAAUAAAAAGGACAGAGAGGGAGAAAAAGAUGUAGAUGAAAAUGCAUAACAACAGGGCAUAAAAACAGUGUCAAUAUCCUUAUCUAUUUAAUUAAUGUUGGAAAUAAGUUUAGUUAAAAUUAUGCAAUAAUAAUUAAUUAACAAUCUAACUCUAGAUUCUCAUGUCAUUAUUCAUCUUUAAAAAUAUUUGAUACAGUGGUUAUUGAUGAGUUUUGUAUUUUUCUAGUAGCUUUGCUAACCCCUGAUUAUUACUGCUCAUAUAUUGACCUUUUUGCCAUAUGUUUUGAUCAACUUUGAAUUAUUAGUAUUUAAAUUUUCUAACAGAUUAUUGAAGUCUCAAAAUACAAUGGUUUUUGUAGCAAAAUCAUUAAUGUGAUAAGAUGCAGAUCAAAAGGAGUGUUCACCACCGUGAAUACAAAUAGUACAAUAUGAAUUAAUAUGAAAAAAUGAAACACUGUGAACAACAGACUUCCAUUAAUGUGUUAGUGAGCAUAUUAAUGACAAAAUUGCUGAAAGAUACAAUGAAAAGUCUCAACUAAGAAAAAAAAUAUGGAACAUUUCUCAGAAUAUAAAUGAAUUCCUAAAUGAAACAAUUUAAAGGUUAAUUUGGUAUUAUUUCCUGGAUAUGUGUGUCAAAUUUAUUCAUUGAUCAAAAGCACUCUUUUACACAAACAAACAGAUAAAUGCCCUUGAUAAUAAACAGCAAUUGAAAUGCUACAUCAGGUGAUAGUGCAGACUACUUUCCUUUGGUCUAGUGAGUCAUUCAGGGAGUAAGACUAUCUUAUCCACACAGACCCAGUGUACUGAAAUUUAUGACAGUCAUUCACAGUUUGGGGGCUGCUAGAUUGCAUACGUUCUUUCAAAGAGAUCUUAUUAGGUAUUCUGCUGCUGAGGCAUCUGCUGGUCAGGGUAAUCUUGAUGCAGGUCAUGUAGAAGACUUGUGGACAUGAAGAACAGCAUUUUUCCAUUACUAGCUUGAUUCCAAAACCAAUGAACUAUUAGCUAUGGUGGUGCAGGAGACUUUUCACCAGUGUUUUAUUAAGAAGUCCAGGGUCUCUAAAUUUGGCAGUGCCCAUGGGCCAUAGUUAUAUUCUACUAAUGAGAAAAUUAUGAUACUGACAUCAGCUUCCCAAUCCUUUUCCCUAAAGAAAACACAUAGCAUAUUAAUCUGUAUAAUUAAUGUCAUGUUUCUUCAUAUCCUCUCUCUCCAAUUAUCCUCAAAAUAAUUCUGUUUGACUCCAAAUACCUGAAAUCUUUAAAAACUUUAUACCAAUAUCUCUAUGGUAGAUCUCUUUGAGUGUAGUUGUAACUCAUAACAAAAACAUUGUAUUUCUGUUAACGUAUGGAUAAUUACAUCAGAAGUCACAUACAGACCAUCAUGAGAAUAAUGCUCGUUCUUAUUGCUGUAUUUUGAAAUUUAAAGAUCCUUAGCACUGAAUAAGUGACAGAAGUAUGCACAAUAAAUUUAUACUAUUGCUUUUAAACUCAUAUCUGCCUUUUUGAUAGUAGAGAACAGCAGAGAAAAUAAUUAAAUACCUACAAAAAUAUUUUGUUUGUAUGUGGUGUUUUGGAGAGAAAGGUAGGUAAGAUUUAUUUAUAUUAAUAAUGUGUCACCAUUUUAUGUACCAGAAACUGCAUAGUUAAUAACUGCACUUGAGUUACAGUGAAGAUUUUCAAUACUUUCAAAUGAAAUUUUAUAUAAAUUCUGAUUUGUUUUAAUAAAAUUUAAAUGUUUGGUAACAG
ensembl:lncRNA